GGGGCCGUGGCGCAGCUGGGAGCGCGAUUGCAUGGCAUGCAAUAGGUCACGAGUUCGAAUCUCGUCGGCUCCACCA
rnacentral:tRNA from 2 species